UAACCACAGGAUAUCCACAGCCAUGAAUUUAUGGAGUACAUAGCAAUGAAAUAUCAGUAAGCAGAUAUUAUUACCUUGAGUUGUGGAAAAAGGAAUAUCCUGUGGGGGUAAAGGAUGAGAAAGCUACCUGCAACUAUUCAUUAGGCCUUCAGCUUUCUGUUCCUUAAACCCAUAACACAAGAGGAAAUCAAAAGGAACUGCAUGGGGCUCAGCCUUUCUGAAAAAUCAAGUUUCAGAUGCAACUCAGACUCAAGAUUCAGGUUUGCUCUCUCUUGAUGGAAAUCAUAACAUUAGGAUAUUGGACUAUGGAGAACAGGAGAUGGAGUCCCUGAGAAAAUGUGGUAAAAGCUUUUAACCUGCAGUAAACUGCCUCCAUCUCCAACUGCUAUCGUUUUCACUCUCCCCAGUUCCUUGCUGACCUUCCAGCAACACCAGCUUGCCUCUUUCUAAACCAUAUGCUGAAGCCUACUGCCUCCACAGUUCAUUUGCCCACUGGACCCUUGUCCUUAAAUCUGUGGCCCUGUGACUGUUGCCCUGGGUCCUAACAAAAAUUUACAAAAACAUUAAAGGAUAUUUUUAUACCAUUUCCAGAGGUAUUGUUUAAAGGGCACUCCACCAGAAAACUGAUCUAAAAAAAUCAGUCCCUUUUAAUGACCUGGCAAGAUGAAGUUCACACUACUGAUGUUAUUCUCACAGUCUCUCUGCAGAGUCAGGAAAACAGUGCAUUGGUUACCAUUUCCAGGUUAUCUUGGCAAACAAGAGAGUUAAAGACUUUCAUUAUUUUGAAAAUAAAAGGCUACAUUUUAGAGAAUGGGAAGCCCCUAAAUUCAUGGAUGAGCCACACCUACAAAUUUAUAAUCCAAGCUAUAAUUUUACCAAACAAAGGCCAUGUGAUGUAUUUAUCAUGAUAUAUAUGGUAGUUUAAGAGUCCUAGACUUAUUCAAAAGGAUUAAUGGGGAUAGCAUAUCCUCAGGCAGGCUAUAUUUACAGCAGUCUUACUAGCAGAUAUUUUCUACAAGUAAACAAAAUAAAGAU